UGUACAAGAUACACUCCACCCAUCCAAUGGGUGGAAUGAUUUCGCUAGUCACUUAAAGUGACUAGCGAUUUACUCUCAUCAAUUAGAUAGAUGGGAUAUAAGAUAUGCUGUAUAUAUAGAGAGAAAUGAUUUGGUAUUUUAUUAUUAAAAAAAUAAGAUAGAUCUUAACCGUUGAUUAAUAGAGAAUAAAGAUGUAAUUUUAAUAUUUAGCAGGUAAAUGGGUUACAUCAUUCGAAAUUAUUUCGGUAAUUAAACUAUACAACAUUUAAAGAAACUUUUAAUUGAUAUCCUAAAUUUAUAAAUUAAUUUGCACUAAUUUAGGAAAUUGAUUGAUUACCCUAAUUUAGGCAUUAAUUAGGCAUUAAUUUACGAAUUUAGUUUAGAAAUUUACGAAUUUAGUUUAAACAUAAAAAUUAAAAAGAUUAGGACUACUAUUCAGAAAAAAAAAAAUGUUAGAAAUUUGAAUUCGAACCCGAUUAACGAUCACAAAAUCUAUUUCCGAACUCGACGGAUUUUAAAAAUCCAUAUCUAAACCCGAAACUAACCAAUUUUUCGAAACCCAAAACCAAAUCCAAACCGGAAGACUGGAAUCCGAAACAAUUAUUUUUUUUACCAUAUUUCAAAAUAUUUUAUAUUAAAUUUACAUUUUUAAAAUAUAAAUUCGAAUAUAAUAUUAAACUUUAUAUAUGAUUCGGGUUGGAUUCAAGAUGGAUAUAGAAAAAAAUUCAUAGUUGGUUCACAAAAUAAUCUCAUGUUCUUGUUGUCAAAUAAUUUGAAAAUU
rnacentral:lncRNA from 1 species